rnacentral:lncRNA from 1 species
GACUACAGUAUAGACCAGGAGGUCAGUGAAUGGGCUUCUCCUAAGAUCACACAUCACACUGGAAGCACAGAAAACUUACAAGCCACAAAUGGAGUUAUGAAAUCAGCAAGAGAUAAAAUAACAGAACCUAUGGUUAGUUGCCCUCACGUCCACUGCCAGAGAUUUCCCCUCCAAGUAUUGUUUUGGAUGUAUCCCACAAAUUUUGAACAUGGCUAAUUGGAAAUGUUUUGCAUGACUUCCUGUGUAUAAUGGGCAUUAUAUUUCUUCCUUCCUCAAUGGAUGUGAGAGGGCCUGGAGGGAGAAAAAGAAUUUAGAACUGAAAAUAAAAAUUUAAUUUAAAAUUUUAAAAGUAUGAAA